CCUACGGGGGGCAGCAGUGGGGAAUAUUGGACAAUGGGGGCAACCCUGAUCCAGCCAUGCCGCGUGUGUGAAGAAGGCCCUCGGGUUGUAAAGCACUUUCAGUGAGGAAGAACGCCUGGUGGUUAAUACCCAUCAGGAAAGACAUCACUCACAGAAGAAGCACCGGCUAACUCCGUGCCAGCAGCCGCGGUAAUACGGAGGGUGCGAGCGUUAAUCGGAAUUACUGGGCGUAAAGCGCGCGUAGGUGGUUUGAUAAGCCGGUUGUGAAAGCCCCGGGCUCAACCUGGGAACGGCAUCCGGAACUGUCAAGCUAGAGUGCAGGAGAGGAAGGUAGAAUUCCCGGUGUAGCGGUGAAAUGCGUAGAGAUCGGGAGGAAUACCAGUGGCGAAGGCGGCCUUCUGGACUGACACUGACACUGAGGUGCGAAAGCGUGGGUAGCAAACAGGAUUAGAUACCCCUGUAGUC
rnacentral:rRNA from 1 species